rnacentral:misc_RNA from 1 species
GAAGUGCGAUAAGCAAUGCGAAUUGCAGAAUUCCGCGAAUCAUCAGAUCUUUGAACGCAAAUGGCGCCAGAGGGAUAUCCUUCUGGCAUGUCUGUUUCAGUGUCUGAGAGGUUUCACACUAAUCUUAAUGUGAUUGAAUUCGGCUUGUUGGUUUUUAACUAACUAACUAACUUGCUAAAAUUCUCUCAUGAAAUAUGCGUGAGUGGAUCUUUCGGUCCAAUGAAGUGGUCACAUCACUCGAAUGUGAUUUCAUUGGAAGCACCGAAUUAUCAUACAUAGCUCAUGGUAUCAUCAUCAUAUAUAUAUAUAUUGUUGAUGAGUUGUUGUUGUUGUUGCAAAACAGCGACUUACCCAACAACAACAACAAUGUAUAUACUCUCUACAACCUGCAUCUGAGAUAGGCAAGAUCACCCGCUGAACUUAAGC